rnacentral:rRNA from 1 species
GUCGAGAAUCAUUCACAAUGGGGGAAACCCUGAUGGUGUGACGCCGCGUGGAGGAUGAAGGUCUUCGGAUUGUAAACUCCUGUCAUGUGGGAGUAAAGCCGGGUGUUAAAUGCAUGCCGGUCUGAGAGUACCACAAGAGGAAGGGACGGCUAACUCUGUGCCAGCAGCCGCGGUAAUACAGAGGUCCCAAGCGUUGUUCGGAAUCACUGGGCGUAAAGGGUGCGUAGGCGGCGCGGAAAGUCAGGGGUGAAAUCCCGGAGCUCAACUGCGGAACUGCCUUUGAUAUUCCCGCGCUUGAGAACUGGAGGGGAGACCGGAAUUCACGGUGGAGCAGUGAAAUGCGUGGAUAUCGUGAGGAACACUAGUGGCGAAGGCGGGUCUCUGGACAGUAUCUGACGCUGAGGCACGAAGGCCAGGGGAGCGAACGGGAUUAGAAACCCCAGUAGUCC